AUUGAACGCUGGCGGCAGGCCUAACACAUGCAAGUCGAGCGGAUGAAGGGAGCUUGCUUCUGGAUUCAGCGGCGGACGGGUGAGUAAUGCCUAGGAAUCUGCCUGGUAGUGGGGGAUAACGUCCGGAAACGGGCGCUAAUACCGCAUACGUCCUGAGGGAGAAAGUGGGGGAUCUUCGGACCUCACGCUAUCAGAUGAGCCUAGGUCGGAUUAGCUAGUUGGUGGGGUAAAGGCCUACCAAGGCGACGAUCCGUAACUGGUCUGAGAGGAUGAUCAGUCACACUGGAACUGAGACACGGUCCAGACUCCUACGGGAGGCAGCAGUGGGGAAUAUUGGACAAUGGGCGAAAGCCUGAUCCAGCCAUGCCGCGUGUGUGAAGAAGGUCUUCGGAUUGUAAAGCACUUUAAGUUGGGAGGAAGGGCAGUAAGUUAAUACCUUGCUGUUUUGACGUUACCAACAGAAUGAGCACCGGCUAACUUCGUG
rnacentral:rRNA from 1 species